rnacentral:rRNA from 1 species
UACGUAGGGGGCAAGCGUUGUCCGGAUUUAUUGGGCGUAAAGAGCUCGUAGGCGGUCUGUCGCGUCGGCUGUGAAAACCCGGGGCUCAACCCCGGGCCUGCAGUCGAUACGGGCAGACUAGAGUGCGGUAGGGGGAGACUGGAAUUCCUGGUGUAGCGGUGAAAUGCGCAGAUAUCAGGAGGAACACCGGUGGCGAAGGCGGGUCUCUGGGCCGUAACUGACGCUGAGGAGCGAAAGCGUGGGGGAGCGAACAGGA